UGUUACUAGAAAAAGUCUCUGAUCCCUCCAGCUAAUUUGUACAUGAGCCUAUGCUUUGACUUGGAAUUUACUCUUCAGAAGACCAUGACUUUAUUUAUUUUGCCUUCUCAUUUUAGGAAGAAAACAUGUCCAUCUGCCUCUGCAAAAUAAGUUGCAAGGAACCUGGGACACUUAAGGAGGCUGACAGGCAUGGAAAGGUCAAAAUAAAGCAGGAGAGCUGUUUCAGCAUAUUCCUUCUGGUUCUGGUGGUGCAGGUACCCCCUUAGGGAGGCAAUGGAGAUGCUCUUUGCCCUCGCUCUUGCUACUCAGGCACAGACCUUGUCAUCGUGAUCUAUGUCUUUGCGGCCUCAAGGCCAGAUUACUGUAAUGUGCACCACUGAAAACCACCUGCAGGCUGGAGCUAUUGCAGAACACAGAAGCAGGACUGCUCAAGGGGCUUCAUCUGUGAGAGUUGGCAAACCCCCAUGCUCUGUAAACUACAUUAGCAAGUAUGAUUCAAGGUCUUUUACUAUUAUUUUUUAAAGCCUAAAACAAUAUGGAGCCGGAAUUCCUGAAGUAGUAGUUAUAAAUAUAAUAUGAUCUAAUGACAACAAGUGCAGGGUGUUCUCACUCUUGGGGCAGCAGCUCUGGCCUGAUCCAUCAUGCACUAAUCAUGAGAGUAGGUCUGUGACAUUCUUUGAUCUCAGGAUCUUUGUGCACCCUGUUUGGUUUAUGUUGUUUAGUGUCAGGUUGUUUGAAAAUAUAACCACCAUAGAAGACAGAAAAGAGCCCCAUCAAAUCAUCUAGACAAUUUCCCUGCCAAGGCAGGAUUGCGGAAACAAAAGAUUAUUCUCCAGUGCAUAUUUAGUAGUGUUGUGUCCCAACCAGACAGUGGGUCUUCCACCAUUUUCCUUGGCAGCCAAUUCCACACCCUACUAGCUUAUGUAUCAGCAGGUUUCUUGAUAUUUUGAGCACAUUUUUCUUUCUUUUUAAGUAUGACCAAAUCUCUACUUCAAUUAAAGAGACUCCUGAACUAAAACAUCACAUCUGACCUCAUGAGUUUUGUAUCCUCACCUACAUCUAGACCUGCAGC